rfam:Triticum aestivum genome assembly, contig: Triticum_aestivum_CS42_TGACv1_scaffold_220647_3B
UUCAUACUACCACGUCCGGAAAUACUUGUCGGAGAAAUAUAUAAAAAUGGAUAUAUUAAGAACUAAAAUACGUCUAGAUACAUCCAUUCAUCCGACAAGUAUUUUUGGAUGGAGGGAGUAUUUG